GAUUUCGUCCUGGGAUGCGGAAGUAGCAGUCCUGUCAUGCGGAAGUAGCAGUCCGGUCCUAGGGACUAGCAGGCACCAAGAAACUGAUAAUGUUCCUUUGAAUUGGCUUCUGUAUUUGCUUCAUCAAUGUCUCUCAUACUGAAUAUCUUAAGAGAGAUGCUGGAAUAUUUUGGCGUUCCUGUAGAACAGGUAAAUGUCGUUUUGGAUUGGAAUGGAUCUGUUGUAUUUGUUCUUGGGUUUCAUUUUGAAAAUGACUUAUAUGUAAUCAUUUGAUUUAAGGCAAAAUUGUUGCUUCUUUUUAGUUGGAACAAAGGUGAGUUUGUAAUAGUAUAGCUUUGAUGGUUUGAGUUAGAAGAGGGAUAAGAUUAUUGAGAACAUAUUUACCUGAUAGGACAAAUGCCAACAGAAGAUACAAAGGAAGCAAAAUAUAGACAUGACCUUCACAGAAUUACAUUUAUUGCACAGAUACAUUAAAACUUCUAUUCAAGGUAAUUUAUAAACAAGUUCAAUAUUUAAAGCUCAAUAAAUCCAGAAU
rnacentral:sRNA from 1 species